UUUUUAUGAGAGUUUGAUCCUGGCUCAGGACGAACGCUGGCGGCGUGCCUAAUACAUGCAAGUCGAACGCUUCUUUUUCCAACGGAGCUUGCUCCACCGGAAAAAGAAGAGUGGCGAACGGGUGAGUAACACGUGGGUAACCUGCCCAUCAGAAGGGGAUAACACUUGGAAACAGGUGCUAAUAC
rnacentral:rRNA from 1 species